AUUGAACGCUGGCGGCAUGCCUUACACAUGCAAGUCGAACGGCAGCACGGGAGCAAUCCUGGUGGCGAGUGGCGAACGGGUGAGUAAAGUAUCGGAACGUGCCCGGUCGUGGGGGAUAACGUAGCGAAAGUUACGCUAAUACCGCAUACGAUCUAUGGAUGAAAGCGGGGGAUCGCAAGACCUCGCGCGAUUGGAGCGGCCGAUAUCAGAUUAGGUAGUUGGUGGGGUAAAGGCUCACCAAGCCGACGAUCUGUAGCUGGUCUGAGAGGACGACCAGCCACACUGGGACUGAGACACGGCCCAGACCCCUACGGGAGGCAGCAGUGGGGAAUUUUGGACAAUGGGCGAAAGCCUGAUCCAGCCAUGCCGCGUGCAGGAUGAAGGCCUUCGGGUUGUAAACUGCUUUUGUACGGAACGAAAAGGUUUGGCCUAAUAAGCUGAGCUCAUGACGGUACCGUAAGAAUAAGCACCGGCUAACUCUGUGCCAGCCGCCGCGGUAA
rnacentral:rRNA from 1 species